CUCACGCCAUCCGCGUAAGAGAACAGCAUCGAGUAUUAUACGUAAAAUUUUCCGACUAACUCGCUGUGCACUGCUGGCAGUAACUGACGGAAACCGCUGGGCAUCAGUCUUGCAGAUUUGCGACAGAGAGCGCGCUACACGAAUUCAAAAACCUUGAAUAAAAUCGAUGCUCACUAUCAUUGAAAACGAUCGAGCCAUACUUUCAAUGCCACAAAUAGACAUCCCAGGGCACAGGUUGAUAUUACUCGAUGGAACACUGACAAUGAUACCGAACGUUGUAUGUACGACAUGUGGGUGAUGGAUCAAUGAAAAAUCAAGUGCGAUUACGCAUUUUGUGAUAAUAUUAUCAUUAUCAGAAUUCAUUAAUGUGAGCCGACCGUAUACCGUGAUUCUGAAUAAUCACCGUGCACCCGCCUUAUUCAAUUCUUCAUCUGAUAAAUUGAGAAGUGAUAGCAAACCAAAUAGAUGCACCAACAAUAAACUAUAAACUAUGUAUCAUUAAGAGAUAAGACUUGUUUUUUGCACUUCAUUCACUGAUUUC